CAAGGGAACGCUGGGCGCCGUUGGUGCCAAGGGGGGGAAACGUGAGCGUCGCUGCGCUCGGGCUGCGUGCUGUGGAACCGAACCCCGCUCCUCGAAGCCCGGUCCCGCUUCGCACGUCCUGAUGGAGCAGCAGCUGCAGCUGCGAGCGCAUGGGACUGAGAGCAGGCAGAAAGCAGGGCUCUUUUCUUCUUCUCUCCCUCUGUAUUUCUUAAGUUCCGCCAGCUGUCUGGUGCAGGCAGCGCUAAUUAGCACGAGGCUGUGCUUUACGUGCAGUUGGAGCGGUGAUAAGGUUUAUCAGGAGGUGCCGAACGCUGGAAUUUCAGGCAGAGAAGCGUUUCCUAGUCUCCUGUCUCUGCUCCAUUAAUCUCGAUCUGAAAGUUUCUGUGAUCAUCCUCUUGGGCUUUGCCAAUUGACAGGAAUUUUCAGGAUGACAGUUGUGGUUUGAGUUGCAGGAGAGUGAAGCGAGAGGCUUUGGCAUUGAGUCUGCACUGGAGCUAUUCUGGUUGAAGCAGCGCUUAAGUUACAAAUGUAAAUAAACCCGGGCGUGCUGCAGACUGUCACCUGCGAUUUGCACAAAUCGGGUUGUCUGCUGUGCCCCCAUCCAAGACGAUUUUGACUUUUGUUACCUCUUUUACUGGCAACAAACUUUCUGCUCAGGUGGUAUGCUUCCUUUCCUGUCUGAGCAAAGGCAUUCGGCAGUAGGCAGUUGUUCAGGCAGCUGGGAUUUAAUAAGUGUGAUAGAGAAGGAGCAGGGGCAGAACCUCCUUCGUGUGAACGACUGUACAGUUUUUUAGUCUUCAGAGGACAACAGAGUGUGUAAAUGCUGCCUGUUUCCUCUGGUUAGUGAUCUUAAUUCAAAUGAGUUCUCUGUUGUUUUUGCUCUCUCCUUCCCUUUAAGGUCUGCCUUCUUAUUGGUAUCGGUCAGCUAGGCUGAGUUGAAAAAGGUGCUGUAUUUCUCUCCUUUUGCAUAAAAAUAACAUAGGGUUUGACUGAUGGGGCACAAAGUUGCACUGAACGUUCAGUUCGCUUGCUUUCCAGCUCUCUGUAGGGUCUUGCCACAGCCACACUUUCCCUUGUCUUCACUGUCUCUGCUUUGAUUAGACUUUCUACCUGCUGUCCUUCCGGGCAAUGAGAAAAGCUGCCUCUAACAAACAUCUGCAGGCUCAGAGGCAUUAUUAACUGCAUCUGAUGAUGCCACGUUAUUACUUGGGCUUAUAUAACUUUAUCUCUAACUUGCCCCUCAAGGGGGGAGUACCAUGUCAGACUCUUGGUUCUGCACACUGUCUGUGUCUGGGAGACAUCCAUGGUGUAUUUUAACACAGUUUGAAACACGGUCGGUGUUCAUCAGGCGCAAGUCUACAUGUAUGUCCAAAGAGACAAAAAUGACUAGAUAUGUCAGGUUUGAAGCACAUCUGUAAAUACUGGGGUGGGACAAUGAAACUGAGGGGGAAUUGCUCCCACACACACGCAUUAUUUUUUUUUGUAGAAUUUGAUGCUGGUCCCUCUUAUUUGUUGCGGAGAGCACUUUUCUUGAAGAAAAAAAACUUCCUGCAUCUUUAGUGGUUGUGUUGUGUUGUUCUGGAAAUGCUGCCUCCUUGUAUUAGCCAAGCUUGCUUUGCUGCCAGUCGAAGUAAUUGUGGAGAUUGUAUGAUUUCAAGGGAUCAUGUGUCAUGCAUACAAAUUAAUGUUGAGAGUAAAUCCUUGUUAACUAAGAGAGCGUCCAUCCUGAAAAAAUCUUGAAAAUAAAUGCUCUCAGUGGAGGCUUUCCAAUGCCACCUUUCUAAAA